rnacentral:lncRNA from 10 species
GGCAUUUUCUGCACCUUUGAGGAUUUACCUAGCCGGGUCCUCCAGAAGACAGAGCAAUCUACCUGUCAGGUGCCAGGACUUCCUCUCUGUUUCCGGAUCACACUCCGUGACCCCAUGAGCUCCUCAGGACAGGGAUGAUGUCACCAUCAUUUUUGUGUCUUCAACUCCUCCACCUCAUAGAUUCUCAGUGAAUGUUUGCUGAAUCAGUAGCGCCAGCUUCACAUGCUUUAGAGGCAGAAGAUACAAGCUGGAAUCUCAACUCCAGCACUUAAUAGCUUUGUGAUCUUAGAUCGUCAAUGAUGAAGCAUGCAGUAAAUAACCCUCCCUCCCUGGAAGUGAAGACAGCCUGUGGGGGAGAACUGGCUCCAUUAAAGGCUUCAAGCCACAGGAGUUGUUUUCUCCGGAGAUGAUGAACGUGGGCUGGAAAAAGAGACAAGAGUCACCUACUUCGUGCAGCUUUUUCCCCCCAAACUGCUAAAAGUCCUUUACCCUCAAAUAAAAUCAUCAAGAGAGAGCUGGAAAUGGCAUCUCUUGCCACAGAUCUGUGUUUUAUUGUUAUUGUUUUCACAUAGUAUUUACUUAAAGUCUGCUGUAUAUCCAGCCCAUGUGUAACUCACCAAAUUUUGAGCAUCUUUUUUUGACUGUGCCUGCCUAUCCAGUUCUUUGUAAGAUCCUUGAGAAAUAGAAUUGAGCCUUUUCUUCUUUGUAGCUUUGGCCUCUCAGCCAAGGCCUGGCAAAGAGUGUGCAUUCAAUUAAUGUUGGUUGAAUGGAUGAAUAGAAAUGAAUGGAUGGGUGGGUGGAUGGAUGGAUGGAUGGAUGGACCAAUCAGUCAAUAGAUCUCCCCAUUUUUAAGCUCCUGUGUGUCAAAGUUCCCUGGCAUUGAGAUUGUCCUAUCAAUGCACAGCAUUAAAUUCCUGCCGUCCAUCUGUUUCGAUGGUAAGCUUGGAGAAAUACUUGUGGAAAGAGUUCCUUGCUUCUCUGAUGCCACAUGUGGAAUGCUCUUUGCCAAAUGCACUAUUUGUCACUGAACACCACUCUUCCUGAUAUCUUAUUCCAUUUAUAGAUUCUGGCUCUGGAGUGCAA